rnacentral:rRNA from 1 species
GACGAACGCUGGCGGCAUGCCUAACACAUGCAAGUCGAACGAAGGCUUCGGCCUUAGUGGCGCACGGGUGCGUAACGCGUGGGAAUCUGCCCUCAGGUUCGGAAUAACAGCGAGAAAUUGCUGCUAAUACCGGAUGAUAUCGCGAGAUCAAAGAUUUAUCGCCUGAGGAUGAGCCCGCGUAGGAUUAGCUAGUUGGUGUGGUAAAGGCGCACCAAGGCGACGAUCCUUAGCUGGUCUGAGAGGAUGAUCAGCCACACUGGGACUGAGACACGGCCCAGACUCCUACGGGAGGCGGCAGUGGGGAAUAUUGGACAAUGGGCGAAAGCCUGAUCCAGCAAUGCCGCGUGAGUGAUGAAGGCCUUAGGGUUGUAAAGCUCUUUUACCCGGGAUGAUAAUGACAGUACCGGGAGAAUAAGCUCCGGCUAACUCCGUGCCAGCCGCCGCGGUAA